GCUACCUCUUAGGUAAAAGGGCUCCAGAACUGAAAAUGGAUUCACGUGUGGGGACUGAGCAACAAAUGCUUGCCUCCUACUCCCUCAUCACUGGGACAAGAUCCCCAAGUAUAUGAUUGAGACCCUGUCUGGGGAGUGGAUAACUUCAACUGCAGAAAGAGCAGAUGGAAACUGGCAUAGAUGAGGCAUGCACUUACUUUCAUGGAGAGGAGAGAGGACCAGCAUGGUUCUGGACAUGGCAUUGGGUCUCCAGAAGGAUGAGGACUCCAUCUGCCAAGACCAUGGUCCAUGGAAUGAGGGCCAAUGAGCACCAUCCUUUUAAGGGGGCCACAGGCAACAGGAAUCCUUAUGGAUAAACCAGGUAUUUUUGUCACAAAGAGAAGUUCUUCCUGAUACUGCUGUCUGCUCUCUGCUAUCAUGGGGAAUAGAUGGGCAUUUGCUGAGACAAUAAGCUGUUUCCAGAUAUGUGCUUGUGACAGCUCACCUGACCUGGGGGAAGAAUGACCACAUCAAUCCCUCUCCAAGCCCCUUCCCCCUUCAGAAGAUUGCAAGGAGCUCCCCAGAUCCUAGAACCUGGAAAUUGUUCAUUCAGACAGGGCUGCAUUCAGGGGAGUGGUAUCCUUGCCUGGACAACCAACAGUUUCUCCCACGUACUGUUCUCAUUAUUUGCUAAAGCAUCAUGACAUUAAUUGUGAUGGGCUAGUGCAGAACAGACAAAGACUUCAUACAUAGAUGGACAUUCUCAUCAUGAAAGACCAUUGACUCACUGUUAUUGUCAGUGUCAAAAAUUAAUUUUGAUCCUGAAACAGAAAAAUGAGGCAAAUACUGAGUCACCCCAUGUUCUGCUAAUAGCUUCAAUGGGGCAAACUGACCAGAGCAUGUUAGCAGUGGUUGUGACCAGUUCAUACGCAGGUGAUGUGGUUUCUGCAAAAACGGAGUGAACCUCUCUUGAAAUUAACAUGUGCAUUUGAAUGCCAUGCAUUUUAUAGGUUUGUUUCUACUUUAUUUGCAUAUUUUUUCUUUUCUUUUUUUGAACCUAUAAGUAUAUUAGUGUUUGUACAUAGUUAAGUAACACUAUAAUUCAAUACUAGCAUAUCUACACAUUAUUCUAUUUUGAAAAAGAGUGAUACAAAGAAAGCCAAAUGACACAGAAGUCUCAGCUGAAGUUCAAUGACAGUGAUUGUACUAGGCCAAGCUUUGCAGUUCCUCUACAUUUGCUUACAAGGCUUGAAGAUGAGAUCAUAGGUCUUUAGACUCUUUGCUCCAAAAUGCCUGGGAAAGAAGAGCUCAGUUUUGCAAACAUUGUCUGCGUUGCUUUAGCUUACUAAAGAAGUGGGUGGGGGAAGGAGGGAAGAGAUACUUCCAUUUAUGUCUAGGGGUACCCUAGGGAACAUGUGUAUGGAAUUACACUGUCUCUUACAAGCACUUUCAGUUUGCUAUGCCUGCAAUUCAAGGAUUGCAGAAUGCAAGAUACCCUAUACUAUCAAGAUGGCCUCAACUCAAAGUGCUUGGAAAUGCCACUUGUAAUCUUAAAACAAAACCCACCUUCCCUCUUCAAGAACAAUCAGCAGUUUAAUUAUGCUAAGUACUUUUCACCCCAGGAGGCUUAAGGUUGCUGUAUUAAGCAACAGAGCAGCAUUCUUUUGAGGCUUAAAGCUAUACAUUUAGAAAGCUGAUAAGUGUCUCACAUCAGAAAGCCUCAAGUCUUUUAGGUAAUUUCCAAGGAUUGCAUUUUACAAACACACCUUCCAAUUCAAGCCAAGAGAUGCCAGAACACCCUAGCUUUUUAUAAGUGAUCCUUGGCCUUGCAAAGUUUUGCUAGAUAAAUAUGGAUGGAGACUUUUAAAACCAACAAAGACAAACAUUUGGUUGCACAUGUAAAUGCAAUUAUUCAAGCUGUAAAUUAAAUUCAAUUACGGACAGAGAGUAGUAUCUUAAGCCUUAUGCUAAUUAUACUUGUGAGUUUCAACUCAUUAAACUCGGAUAAUGCUCAGAAAGAAGGAAUCUGGCGGCAGCAAGUCAUGCAUCCCCCCAGACUGUCCCCUCUGUGGCUUUCAUCACUGUAGUUGGGCAUGUUGGCAAAACCAAUUCACAUCCAAAGAGUCUAAGAAAAAGUAGAGACAUCCAGGGUGUGACAACGAACAGUGUAGCCAAGAAUAGACAGCUAAUGUGCACCCUACAAAGCUAUUGAAAAAAUGUUGCUUUGGGGGCACAAAAAAGCAGAUGAGGGCUUCCAAGGAAAAUGCUAGCACUGGGAGGUGAUGAAUCUUUCCUCACAUCUGACCAUCCCCGCCCCCAGGGCAAGAGUCCAAAGCCAGACAGAUUCCAUUCCUCCUCUCCUUGGAGGGGGCAAUUCAACUCUUAGCUGGGCUCUCCUCAGGAAACAGCGCUGACUCAGCCACAGUGGGAAGUGUGUUCAGCCCUCCUGUUUGGUAACUGGGACCUUGUCACCCCUUCAACAUUUCUCCUCUUUUUUGCUGUUUACUCUCACCCCAACUUUGACCCCUUGGUGACCGAGAUAUCUGAUAAGAGCAUUCACAGGAAGAGGAUGACAGUAUGCUAACCCAGCCAGGAAUGUUUGCAUUUUUUAAAAGCCUCAUGGGGAGCACAACUUCAGCACAGAGAACAAAUUGCUGAUGUUGAAAUUUCAAGUAUUAAUCAAGGAGAUGUGUGGAGAGAGGAAGCCUUUCCUACAACCUUCAAAUCACAUUCAGUGGGUCAUUCCUGACAACAGGCCAGCCCUGAUCACAGGGAUUGGAUUGUUCAAGUGAUGUUGAUGGAGUGGCUUCUGAAAACCAGGCAUUCUACUAGGUUCCUGCUCUGGAGACGAUCUUAUAAGAGGAAGACGGGCAUGUAAGUCUUGAAGAGAAGACAUGGCUGAGAAUCCAAAUUCACUUUUAUCCAAUGGAUGUUGUCAUAUCCUUAUAUGUCUGAGAAAAAUCUCAGAGAUUCUUCAUGGUGUUUUGAAGACUUGGAACUGUGUCACCGUAUCUGUUAUGUAUUGCCACAUAACAAACCACCCCAAAACAUAGUAGCUUAAAACAACAAC